rnacentral:rRNA from 1 species
UACGGAGGGGACUAGCGUUGUUCGGAAUUACUGGGCGUAAAGGGCGCGUAGGCGGUCACGCACGUCCGUUGUGAAAUCGCUCGGCUCAACUGGGCGGGGUCAGCGGAUACGGCGUGGCUGGAGCAAGCUAGGGGGCAAUGGAAUUCCCGGUGUAGUGGUGGAAUGCGCAGAUAUCAGGAGGAACACCGGUGGCGAAGGCGGGUCUCUGGGCAAUAACUGACGCUGAGGAGCGAAAGCGUGGGGAGCGAACAGG